rnacentral:rRNA from 1 species
GAUGAACGCUGGCGGCGUGCCUAAUACAUGCAAGUCGAGCGAACAGAUAAGGAGCUUGCUCCUUUGACGUUAGCGGCGGACGGGUGAGUAACACGUGGGUAACCUACCUAUAAGACUGGGAUAACUUCGGGAAACCGGAGCUAAUACCGGAUAACAUUUGGAACCGCAUGGUUCUAAAGUGAAAGAUGGUUUUGCUAUCACUUAUAGAUGGACCCGCGCUGUAUUAGCUAGUUGGUAAGGUAACGGCUUACCAAGGCGACGAUACGUAGCCGACCUGAGAGGGUGAUCGGCCACACUGGAACUGAGACACGGUCCAGACUCCUACGGGAGGCAGCAGUAGGGAAUCUUCCGCAAUGGGCGAAAGCCUGACGGAGCAACGCCGCGUGAGUGAUGAAGGUUUUCGGAUCGUAAAACUCUGUUAUUAGGGAAGAACAAAUGUGUAAGUAACUGUGCACGUCUUGACGGUACCUAAUCAGAAAGCCACGGCUAACUACGUG